UUUGUAGUUUUGCAGCGGCCAUCUAAAGAGUAAACAAAAUGAAUUAGUUUUAUAAUUGAAAAUUGGUUGAAAAAAAUGAGAAAAAGAAAGAAAAAAUUAACAAAUAUGGAAAUAUGGAAAAGUAGAACUGCUUGAGAAUUGUUCGGCGGUAAUCUCUUAAAGUUUAUGUGUCAUGAACUUCAUGACAGCCAUUCUGCUAAAUGUAAGAUUUGAAUAGUGCUUCUUUGUUUUUUUUUAAUAUUUGAUGAUCGCUAAUGGCUGAUAAAUCAAACAAGUAAAGAUUAGGCAUGCGCUGAAAAACAAAUAAUUUUCCUCAACCAAUUGUUUAACUAGUCUAGCACGUUUGUACUUAAUUGAGUUUAUUUUUUAUAGUACAGUGAAACUGAAAAAUAAGAAAUCUACAUUUCUAAGAAAUAUUCUAUUUUUAAAGCUCGACCAUUUUGUGGGUUUGUCGACCCGUUUUGGUAUUCCGGAACCAACAACGCUUUAAAGUGCCUUAAUCCUACUAACGUGUGAUUGUAUUAAUAUAAUAUAAUUUAUGAAAAAAUAAAUUGUAUUUUCGUAAAAUU
rnacentral:lncRNA from 1 species